GGUCGCCGUGACGGGUCAGAACCCCGGGAGGGUCGCGGGGACGAGCCACGGCCGGUCACCAACGCAGAAUUCUCGACGGUAGCUCACGCCCGAGACCCUUCCCCGCCAAUUCGGCAACGACCGACGCCCCCCCCGCCAAAAACCAAAGACGGACAACGGAGGAAGAUGAACAAACGAGACCUUCGAUUCUGCGAUUCCGGGUCCCCUCUACCGGCGGGUCACCGGCAAAGCGUCUGGAAGAGUUCUGAGCACUGUCCUGCCUUUGCCCCGGACCCUGUGUUCCCGCCACCCGAAGGUCCCGACGGUGUCGAGGAGGUACGGGGGGACGGGGGGGGACGGGGACUCUCCCUUUCCUCCGCCCCUCACCCCGCCCCUCCGCGGCCCCCGACCCGCUCGGUCCCCAACGGCGAGGGCUAAGGGCAGAGGACAUUAAAACAUCUUACGCAGAUCA